GUGGGGAAUCUUCCGCAAUGGACGAAAGUCUGACGGAGCAACGCCGCGUGAGUGAAGAAGGUUUUCGGAUCGUAAAGCUCUUUCGUUAGGGACGAACGUGCUCUUUGUGAAUAAUGAGGAGUAAUGACGGUACCUAAAUAAGAAGCCACGGCUAACUACGUGCCAGCAGCCGCGGUAAUACGUAGGUGGCAAGCGUUGUCCGGAAUUAUUGGGCGUAAAGCGCGCGCAGGCGGGAUAUCAAGGCUGUCUUAAAAGUGCGAGGCUCAACCUCGUGAGGGGACAGAAACUGGUAUUCUUGAGUGUCGGAGAGGAAAGUGGAAUUCCAAGUGUAGCGGUGAAAUGCGUAGAGAUUUGGAAGAACACCAGUGGCGAAGGCGACUUUCUGGACGAUGUCUGACGCUGAGGCGCGAAAGCUAGGGGAGCGAACGGGAUUAGAUACCCGGGUAGUCC
rnacentral:rRNA from 1 species